rnacentral:tRNA from 1 species
CGCGGGGUGGAGCAGUUUGGUAGCUCGUCGGGCUCAUAACCCGAAGGUCAGGGGUUCAAAUCCCCUCCCCGCUACCA